UAGUCCACGCCGUAAACGAUGGUUACUAGCUGUUUGGACUAAUUGAGGUCUAAGUGGCCAAGCGAAAGUGAUAAGUAACCCACCUGGGGAGUACGUUCGCAAGAAUGAAACUCAAAGGAAUUGACGGGGGCCCGCACAAGCGGUGGAGCAUGUGGUUUAAUUCGAUGAUACGCGAGGAACCUUACCUGGACUUAAAUGUAGAUUGCAUGAAUCAGAGAUGGUUCUUUCUUCGGACUAUUUACAAGGUGCUGCAUGGUUGUCGUCAGCUCGUGCCGUGAGGUGUCGGGUUAAGUCCCAUAACGAGCGCAACCCCUAUCCUUAGUUGCCAGCGGGUCAAGCCGGGGACUCUGAGGAGACUGCCACCGUAAGGUGUGAGGAAGGUGGGGAUGACGUCAAAUCAGCACGGCCCUUAUGUCCAGGGCUACGACACGUGUUACAAUGGCAGGUACAAAGGGGCAGCUACUAGGCGACUAGAUGCUAAUCUCAAAAGCCUAGUCUCAGUUCGGAUCGAAGU
rnacentral:rRNA from 1 species